rnacentral:rRNA from 1 species
AACGAACGCUGGCGGCAGGCCUAAAACAUGCAAGUCGAACGAACCGCAAGGUUAGUGGCGCACGGGUGAGUAACACGUGGGAAUGUGCCUCUGGGUACGGAACAACGUCGGGAAACUGACGCUAAUACCGUAUAAUGUCUACGGACCAAAGAUUUAUCGCCCAGAGAUCAGCCCGCGUCUGAUUAGCUAGUUGGUGAGGUAACGGCUCACCAAGGCGACGAUCAGUAGCUGGUCUGAGAGGAUGAUCAGCCACACUGGAACUGAGACACGGUCCAGACUCCUACGGGAGGCAGCAGUUAGGAAUAUUGGACAAUGGGGGAAACCCUGAUCCAGCCAUGCCGCGUGUGUGAAGAAGGCCUUAGGGUUGUAAAGCACUUUCGGCUGUGAAGAUAAUGACAGUAGCAGAAGAAGAAGCUCCGGCUAAAUUCGUGCCAGCAGCCGCCGCAG